CGGCGCCGGAAUUUGCAAAGAUAGUUAUCAGAACAUGUUCCUUGACGUUGAAGGCACCCGGGUUUAAGGUAAACUGAAACCUCGUACCUUCCAAGAAUCUUUUUGUCGGAAGCACUCUCGCCAUGAGAUGACCAAGCGGCACGACGGCGAUCUGAGCGGAGAUUCCGGUGAUACUCAACGGCAUCGUUCUGUACCAGAAAAACUGGUUGAUAAAGG